rnacentral:rRNA from 1 species
GAUGAACGCUGGCGGCGUGCCCAAUACAUGCAAGUCGAACGCUGGAAAUCUAGCUUGCUAGAUUGAAGGAGUGGCGAACGGGUGAGUAAUACAUAAGCAACCUACCCACGAAGACUGGGAUAAUCUCUGGAAACGGGGACUAAUACCGGAUAGGUAAUCGGAAGGCAUCUUCUGAUUAUUAAAGGUUAAAAACACUGGUGGAUGGGCUUAUGGCGCAUUAGUUAGUUGGUGAGGUAACGGCCCACCAAGACGAUGAUGCGUAGCCGGCCUGAGAGGGUGAACGGCCACAUUGGGACUGAGACACGGCCCAGACUCCUACGGGAGGCAGCAGUAGGGAAUUUUCGGCAAUGGGGGAAACCCUGACCGAGCAACGCCGCGUGAGUGAUGACGGCCUUCGGGUUGUAAAGCUCUGUUGUAAGGGAAGAACGGUAGAUAGAGAAUAUCUAAAUGACGGUACCUUACCAGAAAGCCACGGCUAACUACGUG